GAGGGCGACGGGCACGCGGCGCGCAGGCUCCCGCCGAGUUGGCACAGGCGGGCUCCCGGCCGCCGACGCCCCUCGGCGUGAGUCCGCACCCGGCCCUGCAGGAAGCGCGCGCUGAUUGACAGUGGCGGCGUCCCCAAAAAGGCGCGGCGAAGAUGCUGAUCUGCGGGUGGGUCUAGACGCGCGGCCGGCGCGCCCGGUGCCCUCUCCCCUCCGCGCCCCGCCAGGCAGGGCUCCGCCGCCUCCCGGCUGCCGAGGCGCCGGGCACAGACCCCCGCCGGUGCGCCAGCCCCGCGGCCCCGGCUCACCAUGCACUGCCACGCGGAGCUGCGGCUCACCUCGCCCGGCCAACUCAAAGCAGCCAGGCGGCGCUACAAGACUUUCAUGAUCGACGAGAUCCUCUCCAAGGAGACCUGCGACUACUUUGAGAAACUUUCCCUCUAUUCCGUGUGCCCCUCGCUGGUCGUGCGACCCAAGCCCCUGCAUUCCUGUACCGGCCCCGCUUCCCUCCGGGCAUAUCCUCUCCUCUCCGUGAUCACCCGACAGCCCACAGUCAUCUCUCACCUGGUCCCCGCCACCCCGGGAAUCGCCCAGACGCUGUCCCGCCACCCCGCUGCCGAGGCUGCCCCUGCCGAGGCCCCGGGCGGCGAGGCGCUAGGCAGCAGCGAGUCCGAGACGGAGCAGCUCACCCCGCGGCAGAAGAAACCCCGCCGGAGUCGCACCAUCUUCACGGAGCUGCAGCUCAUGGGCCUGGAGAAGAAAUUCCAGAAGCAGAAGUACUUGUCCACCCCGGACAGGUUGGACUUGGCCCAGUCUCUGGGACUCACUCAACUGCAGGUGAAGACCUGGUAUCAGAAUCGCAGGAUGAAAUGGAAGAAAAUGGACUCACAGGGUUUUGCAACAGGCGCAAGAGCGUCAUCAUCAGUGGUCUUUUUUGGCUCUGAAAUACGAUGCAAGCAGAAGUGUGCUCCGGGAGGGGGCCCGUGGAUACAGCCUUCCUCUCCCCAUCACAGAGGUGGGUGGGUUGCAUCCUCAUCGUUUGCAGUGUAAGUCUGCAGAUAAUCAACAAUCCCGUGAAACUGCUACCCGUGGCCAUCUGUGUCUUAACCUCUGUGUACCUGUUUGCUCAUCAGUAAAAGCCUAAUAUGUUCCUUCAAAGGAUUGCUACAUGGGGCACCUUCGUUCUGUGUAACCUCUUUCAUACCAAGUGGAGCUGCUUGCAACAUGUAAAUUCCAUCUUGGCACAUGCGGGCGCUUUCAACAGGCUGCGCUGAAAUCAACAUCAGAUACUGACACUGACAUGAAAAACAACACCAGGGGUGUCUUCUCCCCAAAAGUGGAUUUUGUCGACAUCUACGCCUUGUUAGAGGCGCCCUUCAAGUCUGUGUGUUUCGGCGGAAAGCACCGUGGCUGGGCGGAUUCCCAGCUAAAAGGUGGUGUUUGUUGAGAACGUAUGGUUUUCCUCAUACCGCACACAGAAAUGAACUCAAGAUGACUCAUAGACCUAAAUGUGUAGGCUAAAACAAUAAAUCUCUUAGAAGAAAGUAUGAGUAAAUAUUCAUGACCUUGGGUUAGGCAAAAUCUUCCUAGAUAUAACACCCAAAGCACAAAUAACAAAAGAAAAAAGCAAUUGGCCAUCAGCAAAAUUAAAAUGUUUUGUGCUGUGAAGGACAUCAAGGAAGGGAAAAGACAACCUGCAGAUAUUUACAAAUCUUGUACCUGGUAAGAGGCUUGUAUCCAGAAUACAUAAGGAACUCUUACGACUCAAUAAUAAAAAUUCAAAAACGGGCAAAGGAUUUGAACAGACAUCUCUCCAAAGAAGAUAGACAAUUGGCCCCUGGAAAGAUGCUCAAUGUCAUUCGUCAUCAAGGAACUGCAAAUCAAAACAGAAUGAUAACCGCUUCACACCCACCGGGAUGGUUUUAAUAGGAAAUAAACCACCAUAAUAACAAGUGCUGGUGAGGACGUAGAGAAAUAGAAUCCUCAUAUGCUGCUGACUGGACUGUCACAUGGUGCGGCUGCUUUGGAAAAUAGCGUGGAAGUUCCUCAAAAUGUUAAACAUGGAGUCACCAUGUGAGCCAGCAAUUUCACUUCUGAGUAUAGACCCAAAAGAUAUGAAAGCAGGGACUUGAACAGAUAUGUGCACAUCCAUAUUCACAGAGGCAUUAUUUACAAUAGCCAGAAGGUGGAAACAACUCAAGUGUCCAUCAAAUGUCCGUUAACUGAUGAAUGGGUAAACAGAAUGUGGUAUAUCCAUACAAUGGGUAUCAUUUGGCCAGUAAAAGGAAUGAAAUAUUGGUAUGUGCUAUAACAUGGAUGAACCUUGAAAACAUUAUGCUAAGAGAAAGAAGCCAGUCACAAAGGAUGACAUAUUAUAUGAUGCCAUUCAUAUGAAAUGUCCAGAAUAGGCACAUUUGUAGAGGCAGAAAACAGAUUAGUGGUUGCCUAGGGUUGGGGGGCAGAAGAUGGGGAGAAAUGGAGAGUGGCUGCUCAUGGGCAUGGGGUUUCUUUUGGGGGUGAGGACAUGUUAUACAAUUGGAUUCUGGUGAUAGUUGCACAUUUUUUGACUCUACUAAAAAUCACUAAAUUGUACGCCAGAAAUGGAUGGUAUGUGAAUUAUAUCUCAAUAAAGCUGUUCUUUAAAAGAGGGA